UGUGUAUCAGUACAUGGCAUAUCAAUAAGCGGAGGAAAAGAAACUAACUAGGAUUCCCUCAGUAACGGCGAGUGAAGCGGGAAGAGCUCAAAUUUGAAAUCUUCAAGGUUUUACCUUGACGAAUUGUAGUUUAAAGAAGUGUUUUCUGUUGGUGUUUUGGUAAAAGUUCUUUGGAAUAGGACAUCAUAGAGGGUGAGAAUCCCGUAUUUGACCAUUACUUCCAGCGUUGUGACACACUUUCAACGAGUCGGAUUGUUUGGGAAUGCAGUCCAAAAUGGGUGGUAAAUUUCAUCUAAAGCUAAAUAUUGGCGAGAGACCGAUAGCGAACAAGUACCGUGAGGGAAAGAUGAAAAGAACUUUGAAAAGAGAGUUAAACAGUACGUGAAAUUGUCAAAAGGGAAGCGUUUGACACCAGUGUUGUUUUUCUCGAAAAUCAAUUACUGAUGGUUUGAUGUUUGAGGUAGUUAAUGACUUCAUCAGCUUGCUCCUUUCUUUAUGAAACUUUCUUAAUGCACUUUUCGUUUAACAAGUCAACAUCAAUUUCUUUUGUUGUAAAAGAGUCAUUGGAAGGUGGCUUUCUUUUCGGAGAAAGUGUUUAUAGCCUUUGGCUUCUGCAAUCGGAGAGAUUGAGGUCUGCAGCGUAGAUCCUUCGGGGUUAGAUACAUUUGUGCUAAGUUAUAGCCUUUCAUAGACAACUUGUUGACUAUGAUCAGUCAUGUAGCUUACUCGCUUAUGCUAUUUUACCUACGCUUAGGAUGUUGACAGCAGUAUAGACUGU
rnacentral:rRNA from 1 species